AGCGGCAGACGGGUGAGUAACACGUAAGUAACCUACCCCAGAGACAGGGAUAAGCGCUGGGAAACGAGGGCUAAUACCAGAUGACCUCCGCGAGGAGGAAAGGCUACGGCGCUCUGGGAGGGGCUUGCGGCCCAUCAGCUAGUUGGUAGGGUAAAGGCCUACCAAGGCAAAGACGGGUAGGGGGUGUGAGAGCAUGGCCCCCCACAAUGGGACUGAAACACGGCCCAUACUCCUACGGGAGGCAGCAGCAGGGAAUAUUGCACAAUAGGCGAAAGCCUGAUGCAGCGACGCCGCGUGAGUGAAGAAGGCCUUCGGGUCGUAAAGCUCUUUUGUAGGGGAAGAGGAAGGACGGUACCCUGAGAAAAAGCGUCGGCUAACUACGUGCCAGCAGCCGCGGUAAGACGUAGGACGCGAGCGUUAUCCGGAAUUACUGGGCGUAAAGGGCCAGUAGGUGGCUUGGUAAGUUGUGCGUGAAAGCCUCGUGCUCAACGCCGAGGAGGCCGGACAAUACUGUCAAGCUAGAGGGCAUCAGAGGGGAGUGGAAUUCCCGGAGUAGCGGUAAAAUGCGCAGAUAUCGGGAGGAACACCAAUGGCGAAGGCAGCUCCCUGGGAUGUACCUGACACUGAGGGGCGAAAGCCUAGGGGAGCGAACAGGAUUAGAGACCCUGGUAGUCCUAGCUGUAAACGCUGGGUGCUAGGUGUGGGGCCGUAAAAGUUCCGUGCCGGAGCAAACGCGAUAAGCAUCCCGCCUGGGAAUUACGGUCGCAAGGCUAAUACUCAAACGUAUUGGGCGGGGCCCCGCACAAGCAGCGGAGCGUGUGGUUCAAUUCGAUGCUACACGAAGAACCUUACGGUGGGUUUGACAUGUACGUGGUACGGCGACGAAAGCCAGAGGACCCUUCGGGGAGCGUACACAGGUGCUGCAUGGCUGUCGUCAGCUCGUGCCGUGAGGUGUCGGGUUAACUCCCGUAACGAGCGCAACCCUUGCCCUUAGUUACAAGUGUCUAGGGGGACUGCCGGCGGGAAGCCGGAGGAAGGUG
rnacentral:rRNA from 1 species